GCUUGCCAUCGGACGGUCGCGUUCAUCUUCGGAUGGAUGAGGAAAGUCCGAACUCCCGAGAGCAGCGUGCCGUGCGAGGGUAACCAAGCACGGGCAGGGAAGAAUAAUUGCGAGAAAACACUUCCCUGACAGCGCAGUGUCACAGAAAGCAUACCGCCCUUUGGGGUAAGGGUGAAAUGGCGGGGUAAGAGCCCACCGCGCUUCGGGUAACCGAAGCGGUCACGAUAAACCUCACGCGGAGCAAGACCACGUAGGCGAUCCGUCAUCUUCGGAUGAUUCCUGCUGCUCGCAGGCUGUGAUCGCGGGUAGGUCGCAUCAGAGAAAUGACCGUCUCCUAUCUUCGGGUAGACAGACAGAAUUCGGCUUACAGAUGGCAAGCAAGA
rnacentral:RNase_P_RNA from 1 species